UGGACACAGGGAGCCGUCCAUUCACAGGUUUUCUGCCACAGACAAAUGGGAUUCUCUGGUUUGCCCGUCUCCAGCCAAGAAAUGCGUGAAAUGGACUGGUCUGACACGGGGCUGGGAGGCUGUGUUGGCGGGAACAAGAAGCUGCCCGGCCGCCUUGCAGCCGGAACGGCAUUUCCAUUAGACCAUGCCUGGCCAGCCUCCUGGUGACAGCCCAGAGACGUGGGCGAGGCCACAGGGGUCUGUGCCACGGGGUUCACAGAAAUAAAAGGACCCCGUUCGCCAGACUUUGUUCAAAGAUCUCUGAAAACUCUGGUCUUUAGCCCAACACAACCUCCUGGUUUGACCCGCUGACGACUCAUUCGUGCCACUGUCCGCACCGGCACCCACAGGCCUGUGAGCAUUCCAGGCGGUUGAGCGGGACAGCACCAGCGCGUUGAAGAGCCUUUGCGCACUAGAGCGCAGGCUGGGUGCGCGGACCCCGUGGCGGGCCAUUCCAGGGCGACCUGGAGCACAGCGCCCGGCACGCACACCGCCAACAUUCACCGCUCAGUCCGCCAGGACGACGUGGUGCCAGCCACAGGCGAGGGGAGAGGCGGACAGGCUGAAGCGAGGGGCACUUACGGAGUGAUGAUGCGGGAACGGGCUGAACUGGUGAGGGGGGUACAGGCUGGAGAAGUAUCCGGAGUGGCUCUGCAGCAGGAGAGAAAGGGCCAGAGGAGGGGGAGGUCCUCGGGGCCCCGCGGCUGGAGGCAGCACAGAUAAUCCUGUUGAAAAGAUGCCAAGUGCGCUGAGGUUCAACCCCGGGAUCAGGUUGGCUUGUUGCUG